GUUCGAGCGUCAUUUAAACCAAUCCAGCUUGCUGGGUCUUGGGCUCUCGCCUCCGGGCGGGCCUUAAAAUCAGUGGCGGUGCCACCCGGCUCUAAGCGUAGUAAUACUCCUCGCUACAGAGCUCCGGGCGGAGGCUAGCCAACAACCCCCCAUUUUAUCAGGUUGACCUCGGAUCAGGUAGGGAUACCCGCUGAACUUAA
rnacentral:misc_RNA from 1 species